AUGCGGCUCCAGCCUGUAUCCGUUGUCUCCUUCCUCGUGUUGCUCCUCUUCCAGUUCCUCGCCGGCGGUGACGGGCACUUCAUCUACAACGGCUUUGACGGUGCGCAGCUCGACCUUGACGGCAUGGCCAUGGUCGAGCCUGACGGCAAGCUCGCGCUCACCAACAUCACGUCCCAGCUCAAAGGCAGCGCCUUCCACCCGACGCCCCUCCGCUUCCACGAAACCAACGGCACGGUCGCACGCUCCUUCUCGGCAGCCUUCGUGUUCGCCAUUCUCACCGACCUGGUCACGGUGGGAGGGAACGGCCUUGCCUUCUUCAUCGCGCCCACCAAGAACCUGUCCAUGGCGUCGCCGAGCCAGUUCCUCGGCCUCUUCAACCCCCAGAACAACGGCAACGCGAGCAACCACGUCUUCGCCGUCGAGCUUGACACCAUCCUCAACCCGGAGUUUCGGGACAUGAGCAGUAACCACGUCGGCGUGGACGUGAACGGCCUGGCAUCCGUCGUGGCCGAACCUGCAGGCUACUACGACGACGACACCCGCGAUUUCAGGAACCUGACUCUCAUCAGCGGCGAUGCCAUGCAAGUCUGGGUGGACUACGACGGCCGAUCCACGGUGCUCAACGUGACCCUCGCGCCCGUCGAGGCGCGCAGGCCCAAAAAGCCCCUCAUCUCCGUCACCGUCGACCUCUCGCCGGUGCUGAACGGCACGGCGUACGUCGGCCUCUCGUCGUCGACGGGGCCGUUCCGCACGCGCCACUACGUGCUGGCUGGAGCUUCGCGCUGGACGGGGCAGCGCCGCCGCUCGACUACUCAAACCUCCCCAAGCCGCCCCGCAUCGGCGACAGCAAGCGACGGUCCAAGGCGCGCGACGUCAUCCUUCCGGUGGCCACUCCGAUCCUCGCGCUCGCGGUGGUCGCCGGCGUCUCCCUGGUCGUGUGGCGGCGGUUGCGGUACGCGGAGCUGA
rnacentral:rRNA from 1 species